AGAGUUUGAUCCUGGCUCAGGAUGAACGCUAGCUACAGGCUUAACACAUGCAAGUCGAGGGGAAACGAUAGAGAAAGCUUGCUUUUUCUAGGCGUCGACCGGCGCACGGGUGAGUAACGCGUAUCCAACCUGCCCAUCACUUGGGGAUAACCUUGCGAAAGUAAGACUAAUACCCAAUGAUAUCUCUAGAAGACAUCUGAAAGAGAUUAAAGAUUUAUCGGUGAUGGAUGGGGAUGCGUCUGAUUAGCUUGUUGGCGGGGUAACGGCCCACCAAGGCGACGAUCAGUAGGGGUUCUGAGAGGAAGGUCCCCCACAUUGGAACUGAGACACGGUCCAAACUCCUACGGGAGGCAGCAGUGAGGAAUAUUGGUCAAUGGGCGAGAGCCUGAACCAGCCAAGUAGCGUGCAGGAUGACGGCCCUAUGGGUUGUAAACUGCUUUUAUAAGGGAAUAAAGUGAGCCUCGUGAGGCUUUUUGCAUGUACCUUAUGAAUAAGGACCGGCUAAUUCCGUGCCAGCAGCCGCGGUAAUACGGAAGGUCCGGGCGUUAUCCGGAUUUAUUGGGUUUAAAGGGAGCGUAGGCCGGAGAUUAAGCGUGUUGUGAAAUGUAGACGCUCAACGUCUGCACUGCAGCGCGAACUGGUUUCCUUGAGUACGCACAAAGUGGGCGGAAUUCGUGGUGUAGCGGUGAAAUGCUUAGAUAUCACGAAGAACUCCGAUUGCGAAGGCAGCUCACUGGAGCGCAACUGACGCUGAAGCUCGAAAGUGCGGGUAUCGAACAGGAUUAGAUACCCUGGUAGUCCGCACGGUAAACGAUGGAUGCCCGCUGUUGGUCUGAAUAGGUCAGCGGCCAAGCGAAAGCAUUAAGCAUCCCACCUGGGGAGUACGCCGGCAACGGUGAAACUCAAAGGAAUUGACGGGGGCCCGCACAAGCGGAGGAACAUGUGGUUUAA
rnacentral:rRNA from 1 species